rnacentral:rRNA from 1 species
CCUACGGGUGGCAGCAGUGGGGAAUAUUGCUCAAUGGGGGAAACCCUGAAGCAGCAACGCCGCGUGAAGGAUGAAGGUCUUAGGAGUUUUAACCCCUUUUUGUAGGGGAGAAUAUGACGGUAUGUAUCGAAUAAGCACCGGCUAACUCCGGGCCAGCAGCCGCGGUAAUACGGAGGGUGCAAGCGUUAUUCGGAGUUACUGGGUGUAAAGGGUGCGUAGGCGGGUUAAUAGGUCAGAUGUGAAAUUCUGCAGCUUAACCACAGAACUGCAGUUGCAACUGUCAGUCUGGAGUUCAGGAGAGGUAGGUGGAAUUCGUGGUGUAGCGGUGAAAUGCGUAGAUAUCACGAAGAAUACUGAUUGCGAAGGCGGCCUACUGGA